rnacentral:rRNA from 1 species
UACAGAGGGGGCAAGCGUUGUUCGGAAUUACUGGGCGUAAAGGGCGCGUAGGCGGCCUUCUAAGUCGAACGUGAAAUCCCUGGGCUCAACCCAGGAACUGCGUCCGAUACUGGAAGGCUUGAAUCCGGGAGAGGGAUGCGGAAUUCCUGGCGUAGCGGUGAAAUGCGCAGAUAUCAGGAGGAACACCGGUGGCGAAGGCGGAUCUCUGGGCCAUUACUGACGCUGAGGAGCGAAAGCGUGGGGAGCGAACAGG